rnacentral:sRNA from 1 species
GGGCCACAAUUGGGGGGUCAAGUUUUACAUAGGAAUGUAAAGAGAAAUAUCUUAGUUUUGAAAAUCAAUUGAGCAGAAAAGCUGUUACUUGAGUGAAAGCGUUCUCAGGUAGUGUUAUAUUUAUAAAGAAAAAUCUUUAAAAAUCAAAUAAAGAAGGAUGAAAUUAUAAAGGGGUGGGGUCAAAUUUUUACACUGGAAAUAAAUUUGAUCAUUCUCAAAAAUAUUUAGUAUAUAGUAUUACUAAUAUGCAAUCAUAUUGACAUUUGUUGAUUCUCAGUUGUUUAGACUGUGGUCCUGGAUAAUUGUUGUGCCACAUAUAAGGUUCAAAGUUUUAUGAGGUUUAUAUUUAGCUAAUUUUAUUAUGUCUAGUGUUGCUCAUGUGAGCGAUGUGGCCCAUGGGCCUCUUGUUAUUGUAAUUUCUUUGUAGCUCCUAACUUUGAAAACUCGUACGUGUUUACGACAGUUUGAUAUUUUUUUAAUGCUUGUUGUUUUUAAGUUUGUAAACUAACAUGGACUAAAGAAGUAAUAAACAUUUUUACAAUU